GUGCUUGCUCCAGUAGCAUAUAUACUAAAAUUAUAAUGAUACAGAGAAGAUUAGCAUGACCCCUGGGCAAGGAUAACACACAAAUUCGUGAAGCAUUUCAUAUUUUU